UCGAGCGAGAACCGGGGCUUCGGCCCCGGGGAAAGCGGCGAACGGGUGAGUAACACGUGGGUAAUCUGCCCUCGGCACCGGAAUAGCCCGGGGAAACCCGGAUUAAUGCCGGAUAGCCCUUCCACCUCUCGAGGUGGUCGGAAAAGGCAGCUUUGGCCUCCGGCCGAGGAUGAGCCCGCGGCGGAUUAGCUUGUUGGUGGGGUAACGGCCUACCAAGGCGACGAUCCGUAGCUGGUCUGAGAGGACGAUCAGCCACACUGGGACUGAGACACGGCCCAGACUCCUACGGGAGGCAGCAGUGGGGAAUCUUGCGCAAUGGGCGAAAGCCUGACGCAGCGACGCCGCGUGAGGGAAGACGGCCUUCGGGUUGUAAACCUCUUUCAGGAGGGACGAAGCCACUCGGGUUAAUAGCCCAGAGGGUGACGGUACCUCCAGAAGAAGCCCCGGCUAACUACGUGCCAGCAGCCGCGGUAAUACGUAGGGGGCAAGCGUUG
rnacentral:rRNA from 1 species